UUGGAUGUCCAAAAUAAAUAGCAGGGUCGUCUAACGCAUAGGGCGGAAUGGUCGACCUCCCCAGGCCCAAUUUUUAGAGGGACCCAAAAAAAUUAAUCUACUCUAUGUAAUGUGAAAACUACUACCAGACCCAUUUUUUGUUUUCCUCCACUGUGAAAUCCACGGUCAAAAAAAAUUCACGGUCGCACCCAUUUUCAGUGAUGAAAUUAUGCACAGGCCCAUAUUUUAAUGUUUGAUGUUUUUUUUUCCCUUUUGUAUCUCUUUUAUAAACAAGAAAAGUAUGAAGACGAGAACACCAUUAACAAUUUUCUUUUGAUACCUUCCUAUCUAAUUCAAUCAAAAUCAAAACCCUAGAAGACAUAACCUAAAAUUCAAUUGAAUUUUUUUUUUGUUUUAUUCAAUUUGAUAAAACUCAUUUUAGAUCUGGAAAUUAUGAUCGAGAACUAGUUGAUACGGUUCUUAUCGAAGCAGGGGAGAGUCUCAUCAAAUCAAAGAAUGGUUCAAGCUGGUGGCGUCUUGCAUUAUCCGUGGUGCGGGAUUGCAAUGAAUUAAACCGGUGGUUGGUUUUGAAGGAUUAAGAAAUGGUUGGAAGUGAACUAGAACUCAAGUCAAGGACUGGUGGGUGUAUCUCGGAUUUGAUUUACAACAGUGAAGAGAAUGAAGUGAUUAAUGGUGUUAUGUAUCUCAACGAGAGCUGUUCUUGAGAUAAAGAAGACUUGAUUGAUGAGUUUGUUCACAUGGGUUUAUGUUAAAUUUGUACUGCCAGGUUCUUGUACUCGAUUUGGAGAUUAUUGAUGCUCUCAGAUUUCUGAAAUGGGUGCUGGCUUAAUUGGUUUUCUUUGAUUCGAUGAUGGAGCUGUCUGCUUCCGUUGAUUUCAGCGAGAAGACUCGGGGAAGGAAGGUUUUCUGUUUUGUUUCCUUACAGCAAUUUUCGAAUUCGCAAGUCUUGAGACAACUGAGUUUAGCUCAAUAGAGGGAACAAAUGGAGGUGCUGAAAUGCUGUUGGCUGUGUGUCAAUUUUCAACGGCUAAGAGAUUGAGGGAAUGGUAUUGAAUCGGCAGUAUUGUUGUGGCAGAAGUGCGGCCGAAAUUGGAAGCCACGACAACAGAUUGAAGGUUUGAGCUGAAAUGAAGUGUUGUCAAUUAGAUGUAUGCUAGGAUUGAAAUGUAUGAAACCUACAGGGAAGGAGUUGGUUUUUCGUGCUCCUGGUGGUGUUAAACUAAGGCUUGAAGGUGUCUGUGUUGGUAAUGCAGUCAAAUGGGACCAAGAAUGGAAGCUGUGGUGAUGCUAUGGCUGUGACAGAGUGAGCUGUAAAAUGGUUGAGGUGUUGUCAAGAAGGCGUGAUUCGAAUGGAUUUGCUGGUGAUUAAUAGGUGCAAGCAGUAUUAUUGCUUUUGGGAGCUCGACAUGAACCUAUUGCUGCGCGUAGUGUUGAAAUUUCUUUUUUAUUGGUUGAGGUUCUGGUGUUGGUAGGUUGUACAGGUGGUGUUGGUCAUAUUGGUUGAAUAAUUUGUAGCCAUCUACAAUUAUGCAGUCCCC